GAUGAACGCUGGCGGCGUGCCUAAUACAUGCAAGUCGAGCGAACGGACGAGAAGCUUGCUUCUCUGAUGUUAGCGACGGACGGGGGAGUAACACGUGGAUAACCUACCUAUAAGACUGGGAUAACUUCGAGAAACCGAAGCUAAUACCGCAUAAUAUUUUGAACCGCAUGGUUCAAAAGUGAAAGACGGUCUUGCUUAAACUUAUAGAUGGCUCCGCGCUGCUUAAGCUAGUUGGUAGGGUAACGUCUUACCAAGGCAACGAUGCAUAGCCGACCUAAGAGCGUGAUCUGCCACCCUGGACCUGAGACACGUUCUAGACCCCUACGGCAGUCAGCAGCAUGUAAUCCUCCGCAAUGGGCGAAAACCUGACGGCGCGACCUCGCGUUGUGUACGCUCGUGUUCGGACCGUCAUACUCUGUUAUUAGGGACGAACAUAUGUGUCCGUUACUGUGCACACUGUGACGGUAGCUAAUCAGACAGCCACGGCUAACUACGUG
rnacentral:rRNA from 1 species